rnacentral:tRNA from 1 species
GGGGGCGUAGCUCAGCCUGGUAGAGCGCCUGCAUGGCAUGCAGGAGGUUUCGAGGGUUCAAAUCCCUUCGCCUCCA